rnacentral:misc_RNA from 1 species
CUGCAGCAAUUUUUUUAAAGACGAGGAAAAUUGUUUCAACUCUCUAUGAUCAUGCGGUCCAAACAGAGGUGUAUUAAUAGACAGACCUCAUACAUGCGAAUAUCACAUUAUUUCAAUGUUGCAUCAUGGGAUGCCACUCAGGCCAAAAAAAAAAACUAAAUCACUUUGAAAUCAGUAACUACACUUUGGAUGGAACUCCUAGCAUGUGCUAAAAAAAUUGCUGCAGUUACAGCAGCCAUAAAUCUCAUUAAAAUAAUCCUCAGUUAUGUGCUGUCACCAAUACCAUAUGCUCUAUCAGGUCCAGUACUCGGUUGCUGUAUCCCCACUCAUUAUC